AUACUUACCUGGCAGGGGAGAUACCAUGAUCACGAAGGUGGUUUUCCCAGGGGGAGGCUUAUCCAUCGCACUCCAGAUGUGCUGACCCCUGCGAUUUCCCCGAAUGUGGGAAACUAGACUGCACAAUUUGUGGUAGUGGGGGAUUGCAUCCGCGCUUUCUCUUG
rnacentral:snRNA from 1 species